CGGUGAGUUCUGAGUAUCCUGCACCGCCCUCGAGGACCUGCAGGGGGCGCGCGAAGCCAGCGUGUCUUAGGUGGCGGUGCGCAUGCGCAGUCCGCGUCAGCAGCCAGCAUCUUCCCUGGGGGCGGAGCUUGUUUUCCUCAGCACUGAGCGGGCGGCGCCAUGGAGGCUCCAGGACAGCGCUCCCUGCGUGUCCGCGGGAGGACGCUCCCCGCCCGCUGUCUGAAGUUACGCCGGUUUCCCACUGCCUGCGCCCGCUUCCUGCCGGGGUGUGUGUGGACCUGACCGAGCUAGGGCCCCGGCCGGCUGGGCAGGAGGGGACGGGUGCGCUGGCGGGCCCGCUUCGACUAUUCUCCUCGCCCGCCGGGAGCGGAUUGAAUCUGACUGAGACAUAACUUCGAUGAGAUCACACUGCUAUUAAACCUGCCCCAGAUACAUAUGCACUGGCUUGAGGACCAGCAUAUUGAAGGAACUUGAAAAUGGAAGACCACCUCCACCCUACUGCCCUCUUCAACAGAAAAGCAAUCGGGACUGGUUCCUGACAUUGUGCCCUGUGGAGCUGUCAUUACAGCUUAAUCACUCCACUCACCAGAGAACUCGACAUAUCACAUCACACGUCUUAAGACUAUUUAGGAUGAUGGCACACAUUCCAAGCCGACUUUAUGAUUUCCUUUUUGGUGAUCUCCUCCUGUUGAAAAGUAAAAUGUCCUCCCAAAGGUUGUUUUCUGACGUUGGUUAUUUUAAGUGUCCCCUAUCAGAUUGCCAUUCUCCCCUCUCUUUUCUCAUGUUCUCCUCUGAAUGGAUAUCCAUCCCUUUGUCAUCAUUUUGUCUAGUUUUCUGAUAUCCUAACCAUUCUCUUAAUUUCCAGUUCCACCUCCUGUAUACAAGGAACAUUAUUCUGGAAGACACUUCCCUGAAACCUGAGUUUCAACAGAAACUUGGGGGCAAGGGUUCUGCCCAUACAGUGAGAACAAGCAAUUAUAACCUUAAGAGAGUAUGGGAAUUCUGAUGUCACUACUCCGUGAUUCUUUAUUUUCAGUCAAUAAAUAACAUGUACCUCUGAUGAUGGCUGUAUGGUCAGGCAACUCAAGAUGGCUUCUCUCUAUACAUCUCCUGCUUGACUGGUGCCUGCUUCACCUACACACAACUCAUAAGACUGAUCUUCCUUCAUAUUCACCCCAGGCCCCAGCUAAUGACUGUUCUAGAUUUAGAUCAGAACUCACCACUAUGCUUAUCCAAGGGGUGGUGAGAGGCAUGACCCUGUGCUGAUUACCCACAUAACCAAUGAGCCAACCUGACAUCAACUCCCCUAUGACUGGUAACCUCUUCUUCCCCACCAGGAGCAAAGACUGCCAUCAUGUCCUGCCCUCCAGCUCCCACACAUGGCAGGAUGUUGCUCCAGGACUUUGCUUCAGAUGUGUAAGAUCACCCUAAUCAUUAAACUAUUGAUUAUCUCUGUUGCUGACUCUGGGAUCUUUCUCAGGUCUUGAAGCUGGGCAAGUACAGGGCUUGUAGACCUGCAGGGUGCAGUCCAGUGCUGACAUAGCUAAUUAAUACCCUCACAUAAAACACUUCAUUUAUAUAAACAUAAUGUAACUAGUAGCCAAAUUGGGUUCAAAAGAAUGGAAAUACAUGGAGAUCAGAAGCAACCUUAGCUCUAGGGUCCUCAGAAAGCCCAGAUUCAGUGGGAUAUCAUGGUACAGCACAAGGCUUGUGGGGAAAAAUGAAUAGCAGGCACAGCUUUGCCCAUCUCUUAUCUAAUUCUCAAUAGUUCCUUCUGCUAUUGGACCAACCUGGGAUGUGUCUAUGUCCAUUCAAAUACUAUCCCUUUCUGAAACUCUUAUGAAAAUUUCAGUGCACAUCAUGUUAAUUAUGAUGUUUCACUCAUGAUGCCACUUAAACUUAUCAUCAUCUUGCAUUGUUUCAAAAUAUUGAAUGUAUGUAAUUACUCUAAUUAUUUAUGUUGCCUUAUUUUAGUUGUGAUGGUUAUAUAUUUUUCCAGGUUUAUUUUCUUCUCUUGUAAAACUGUCUGCUCAAGCAAAGUAGAUCUACCCAAUGUUUCACAAUGAUACCCUGUACAUUUUGCCUUCCCAAAAUGUUACUUUAAAUAUUCUAUUUGAAGAGUUUUCUCUCUCUUCUCACUCUGUGUGAAUAGUGUUCAUCCUUCAAAAACCAGUCAAUGCCAGUGACUUCAAAAGGGUCAUUCCUCUCACAAAAGUGUAUCUGACCUUGUGAGUAUGCUUUUUCUCAGAAAAAAAAAUCAUGAAUUUGCAUAAUUUGUUUCUCAGUUUCUAUAUGCAGUUAUAUCUUAUUUUAUUGUGCUUCACUUAACUGUACUUUGCAGAUACUGAGUUUUCUCUUUACAAAUUGAAAGUUUGUGGCAACCUGGUCUCUGGCAAGUCUAUCACUGCCAUUUUUCCACAUUGUAUCUCUCUGUCACACUUUGGUAAUUUUCCCAGUAUUUCAAACUUUUUCAUUAUUAUUAUAUUUGUUAUGGUGACCUGUGAUCUUUGAUGUUACUAUUGUAAUUGUUUCAGAGUGCCAUGAACCCCACUCACAAGAGAUGAAAACCAGAUUCACAGAUGCUGUGUGUGUUCUGACUGCUCCAUUGACUUGACUGUUCCCCCAUCUCUCUUUCUUUCCUUGGGCCUCACUAUUCCCUGAGACACAAUAAUAUUUAAAUUAGAUGAGUUGAUAACCCUACAAUGGCCUCUAAGUGUUCAAGUGAAAGAGGAAUCAAUCAAUAUUUUGCUAUCAAUUAUUAUUUAUUGUUAUUUUAAGAAAUUGCCAGACAUCUCAAAUUUCAGCAACUGCUAGCCUGAUCUGUCAGCAUCGAGGCAAGACCCUUCACAAGUAAAAAAUUUAUGACUCACUGAAGGCUCAGAUGAUGGCUAACAGUUUUUAAAGUAUUUUUAAUUGAGGUAUGUGUAUUGCUUUUUUAGAUAUAAUAGUAUUGCAAGCUAAAUAGACUACAAUGUAGUAUAACAUAAAUUUUAUAUGCACUUGGAAACCAAAAACAUUAUGUGGCUCAUUUUACUGUGAUAUGUGCUUUAUUGUAGUUGUCUGGAAUUGAACAUGCAAUAUCUUUGAGAUAUGCCUGUAUACCUCAUUCUAUCAUGUAUCUAAUUAUGUCCCUAUGAAUCUACUUUCAUAUCUACACAUAUAUCACUUAGUUUGUAAAUUCUAAGAAAUUUAAUACAAUUUGAGUUACCACUUCACACCUACCAGGAUGGCUAUCAUUAAAAAAAAAAAAAGACAGGCAAUAACAGAAAAGAAUGUGAAGAAAUUGGAAAAUUCAUACAUUGCUUGGAGUCUGGGGAGAUGUAAAAUGGUGAAGCCAAUUUGUAAGGCAGCUAGUUCUUCAAAAAGUUAAAGAAAGAAUUAUCAUAUGAUCUAGCAACUCCACUGUCAUGCCCAAGAAAAUUUUAAAAAUACAUUCAAAAAUUUGUACACAAAUAUUCACAGCAUCAGUAUUCAUGAUAGCCCCAAAAUGGAAACAAGCCAAAGACUAUCAACAAGUAAUUUUGUAAAUAAAAUAUGGUACAUCCAUAGAAUACAAUAUUAUUUGGCCAUGAAAAGAAUGUAGUUCUGAUUAUGCUAAGUGAAAGGAGUCAUACACAAAAAGCCACAUAUUGGAUACAAUUUAUAUGAAAUGUUUAGAAUAAGUAGGACGAUAGAGACAGAAAGUAGGUCAGUGAUGGUCAGGGGCAAUAACCAACUGAUAUAUGGUUGAAUAGAGGACUGACUAAAUUAUAAAUAAUAAGAUAAAGGGGUACUUUGAAACAAUCCAAUCCAAUUUUCCUCUUUUUGUUUAUUAAUUUUGUUGGCCUUCUUUUUUCUUUUAAAUUUUUUAGUUUCUUUCUUUCUUUUUUCUUUCUUUCUUUCUUUCUUUCUUUCUUUCUUUCUUUCUUUCUUUCUUUCUUUCUUUCUUUCUUUCUAUCUUUCAAUUGAAGUAAAGUCAGUUUACAAAGUUGUGUCAAUUUCUGGUGCACAGCAUAAUGUUUCUGUCAUAUAUGUAUUCAUACAUAUAUUUGUUUUCAUAUUAUUCUUCAUUAUAGGUUACUACAAAAUACUGAACAUACUUCCCUGUGCUAUACAGAAGAAAGUUGUUGCUUAUAUAUUAUAUAUAUAAUAGUACGUAUAUCUACAAACUCCUAAUUUAU